UACGUAGGGUGCAAGCGUUACUCGGAAUUACUGGGCGUAAAGCGUGCGCAGGCGGUUUUGUAAGUCUGUCGUGAAAUCCCCGGGCUCAACCUGGGAAUUGCGAUGGAGACUGCAAGGCUAGAAUCUGGCAGAGGGGGGUAGAAUUCCACGUGUAGCAGUGAAAUGCGUAGAGAUGUGGAGGAACACCGAUGGCGAAGGCAGCUCGCUGGGACGGUACUGACGCUGAGGCGCGAAAGCGUGGGGAGCAAACAGG
rnacentral:rRNA from 1 species